rnacentral:rRNA from 1 species
AUUGAACGCUGGCGGCAGGCCUAACACAUGCAAGUCGAACGAGUGGCGGACGGGUGAGUAAUGUCUGGGAAACUGCCUGAUGGAGGGGGAUAACUACUGGAAACGGUAGCUAAUACCGCAUACCAUCGGAUGUGCCCAGAUGGGAUUAGCUAGUAGGUGUGGUAACGGCUCACCUAGGCGACGAUCCCUAGCUGGUCUGAGAGGAUGACCCGCCCCACUGGAACUGGGACACGGGCCAGAGUCCUACGGUAGGCAGCAGUGGGGAAUAGUGCACUAUGGGCGCAAGCCUGAAGCAGCCAUGCCGCGUGUAUGAAGAAGGCCUUCGGGUUGUAAAGUACUUUCAGCGGGGAGGCGUUACCCGCAGAAGAAGCACCGGCUAACUCCGUGCCAGCAGCCGCGGUAAUAC